UCCAGACCUUGUACCUGCUUAAAUGAUGAAGAAAUUACGAAGGAAUAGCCAUCACCUGUCCAUAAAACAGAUUUUGAGUCAAUCGUCCAAUUACUUUUGGUCCUCUGGUCUUUUGAAAAAGAUGGGGAUACAUAUUAAAGAGCUGUAAUUCUUAAAUCCUUACUCCAAUUUGGAUAUGAAUACCCUCACAUUAAAGAGGAGAGACUGAUAAG